rnacentral:rRNA from 2 species
UGGCGGCGUGCCUAAUACAUGCAAGUCGAACGAGUUCUCGUUGAUGAUCGGUGCUUGCACCGAGAUUCAACAUGGAACGAGUGGCGGACGGGUGAGUAACACGUGGGUAACCUGCCCUUAAGUGGGGGAUAACAUUUGGAAACAGAUGCUAAUACCGCAUAGAUCCAAGAACCGCAUGGUUCUUGGCUGAAAGAUGGCGUAAGCUAUCGCUUUUGGAUGGACCCGCGGCGUAUUAGCUAGUUGGUGAGGUAAUGGCUCACCAAGGCGAUGAUACGUAGCCGAACUGAGAGGUUGAUCGGCCACAUUGGGACUGAGACACGGCCCAAACUCCUACGGGAGGCAGCAGUAGGGAAUCUUCCACAAUGGACGCAAGUCUGAUGGAGCAACGCCGCGUGAGUGAAGAAGGCUUUCGGGUCGUAAAACUCUGUUGUUGGAGAAGAAUGGUCGGCAGAGUAACUGUUGUCGGCGUGACGGUAUCCAACCAGAAAGCCACGGCUAACUACGUGCCAGCAGCCGCGGUAAUACGUAGGUGGCAAGCGUUAUCCGGAUUUAUUGGGCGUAAAGCGAGCGCAGGCGGUUUUUUAAGUCUGAUGUGAAAGCCCUCGGCUUAACCGAGGAAGCGCAUCGGAAACUGGGAAACUUGAGUGCAGAAGAGGACAGUGGAACUCCAUGUGUAGCGGUGAAAUGCGUAGAUAUAUGGAAGAACACCAGUGGCGAAGGCGGCUGUCUGGUCUGUAACUGACGCUGAGGCUCGAAAGCAUGGGUAGCGAACAGGAUUAGAUACCCUGGUAGUCCAUGCCGUAAACGAUGAAUGCUAGGUGUUGGAGGGUUUCCGCCCUUCAGUGCCGCAGCUAACGCAUUAAGCAUUCCGCCUGGGGAGUACGACCGCAAGGUUGAAACUCAAAGGAAUUGACGGGGGCCCGCACAAGCGGUGGAGCAUGUGGUUUAAUUCGAAGCAACGCGAAGAACCUUACCAGGUCUUGACAUCUUUUGAUCACCUGAGAGAUCAGGUUUCCCCUUCGGGGGCAAAAUGACAGGUGGUGCAUGGUUGUCGUCAGCUCGUGUCGUGAGAUGUUGGGUUAAGUCCCGCAACGAGCGCAACCCUUAUGACUAGUUGCCAGCAUUUAGUUGGGCACUCUAGUAAGACUGCCGGUGACAAACCGGAGGAAGGUGGGGAUGACGUCAAAUCAUCAUGCCCCUUAUGACCUGGGCUACACACGUGCUACAAUGGAUGGUACAACGAGUUGCGAGACCGCGAGGUCAAGCUAAUCUCUUAAAGCCAUUCUCAGUUCGGACUGUAGGCUGCAACUCGCCUACACGAAGUCGGAAUCGCUAGUAAUCGCGGAUCAGCACGCCGCGGUGAAUACGUUCCCGGGCCUUGUACACACCGCCCGUCACACCAUGAGAGUUUGUAACACCCGAAGCCGGUGGCGUAACCCUUUUAGGGAGCGAGCCGUCUAAGGUGGGACAAAUGAUUAGGGUGAA